AAGCCAGACUCCUACGGGAGGCAGCAGUGGGGGAUAUUGCACAAUGGGGGGAACCCUGAUGCAGCGACGCCGCGUGGGUGAAGGAGCGUUUCGGCGCGUAAAGCCCUAUCGGCAGGGAAGAGGGAGGACGGUACCUGACUAAGAAGCCCCGGCUAACUACGUGCCAGCAGCCGCGGUAAUACGUAGGGGGCAAGCGUUAUCCGGAUUUACUGGGUGUAAAGGGGGCGCAGACGGCAGCGCAAGCCAGGAGUGAAAGCCCGGGGCCCAACCCCGGGACUGCUCUUGGAACUGCGCGGCUGGAGUGCAGGAGGGGCAGGCGGAAUUCCUGGUGUAGCGGUGAAAUGCGUAGAUAUCAGGAGGAACACCAGUGGCGAAGGCGGCCUGCUGGACUGCGACUGACGUUGAGGCCCGAAAGCGUGGGGAGCAAACAGGAUUAGAUACCCUAGUAC
rnacentral:rRNA from 1 species